rnacentral:rRNA from 1 species
GACAGAGGAGGCGAGCGUUAUCCGGAGUUAUUGGGCGUAAAGGGUACUUAGGCGGCUGGUCAAGUCUGGGGUUAAAGACCACAGCUUAACUGUGGGGGGGCCUUGGAAACUGACCGGCUGGAGUGGGGCAGGGGUUGCGGGAAUUCCCGGUGUAGCGGUGAAAUGCGUAGAUAUCGGGAAGAACACAUGAGGCGAAAGCGCGCAACUGGGCCCUAAAUGACGCUGAGGUACGAAAGCUAGGGGAGCGAAUGGG